GCAAAAGGAGAUAACGAAGAGAAACAAGUCGACGCCUCCGCGCUGCUUUGAUGGCGGAGGAGGAGGAAAGGCUGCGCCGACCGGACCGGGAAGGAGCGCGAGAACAUGGCGCAUGCCGGCGUACGAGGCGAUUGUUUUCGGCGGUAAUUAUCGUCAUAUCUUUGUACCGGCGACGUUAUGCGACUGUGUUCGUGUUGUGAAGUGAUCUGGCCGCGUCGGUGAACGCUCUCGGUGAUGUCAGUGAUGUUCACAUCCACCGUUGUUACCGGAAAUUGCAUAAAAGAAGUGCAACUUCGACAACUCGUGUGAGUACAACGGUACAACGGCCACACAGGCGAUCAGCGGCGGCGGGCGGCCAUGUGCGCUGGAUCGGCGGGCCCAGGAGGGCGUGCUGUACAGCUGCGAACCUGUGCCUAAUUGGAAUAAAGUGGGACAUCAGCACUAAUAAGAACGCCACCCAUGAAAGCAGAACCCCGGGCUCUCCAUUGGAACUUUGGAGUGGACCACCGCACCGGUACGACGGUCACCUGGAGGCCCAGGAGUCAUCAGGACAAAUAACUCUGAUAAUAUGUGAAUGAUAUAUAAUGUGUUUGUUAUGACGGAGCAAGUAUGUCAAAAUGAAACACAUAUUUAAAAAUGUUUUUUUUUCUCUUGUUAGCAAUGUAUACAUACAAAACUUGACUUGUAUCUCUCUGCAUUCACCCAACCACUGCGGCAUGUACACAGAGUGUGCUCCGCAAUACAAAAUAUUUUUCAUGUUGCUUGGCUCCCAAAGAGCUCUUCAAUUCAAAUACGUACAAGGUGUGUUCGAAAAGAAACCAACCUUUUGCUUUAACAUCUUUAUUGCUUAUUGUACAACAUUUUAUGCAUGUCCCCUUCAAAGUAGUGCCCUCUUCUGGCAAUACAUUGUUCCUAUCAUCUCAUCUAUUUUUGGAAAGCCUCCUGGAACGCUUUUUCUGGGAUGGCGCAUAGGUCUCGUGUCGCAUUGUCUUGAAAUUUCUUUUAUGGGUUGGAAACGACGUCCUUUCAACGUGAUUUUAAGUUCGGGAAACAGGAAAAAGGCUUCUUGGGCUAGGUCUGGAAAGUACGGUGGAUGGGGCACCAGAGUGUGAUGUUUUGCUAGAUAGCCGCAGACAAGGAGCGACGCGUGAACUAGCUCAUUGUCAUGUUGCAACAAUUAAAUCUGGGUUUCCCACAAUUCAGGCUUCCUACUGCACACAGCAUCCCGCAAACACGCUAGAAUUCCUUGGUAAACUGCCUUGUUUACCAUCUGACCCUGUGGUAGAAAUUCAUGAUGGACUAUGUCUUUCCUGUCAGAAACCACCACCAUUACCUUGAUUUUUUUGCUGACUCAUUGGUGCUUUCUUGGAGGAGAAGACUGUUCGCCCACCCACUGU